UACGUAGGGUGCGGGCGUUGUCCGGAAUUAUUGGGCGUAAAGAGCUUGUAGGCGGUUUGUCGCGUCUGCUGUGAAAAUCCGGGGCUCAACCCCGGACUUGCAGUGGGUACGGGCAGACUGGAGUGUGGUAGGGGAGACUGGAAUUCCGGGUGUAGUGGUGAAAUGCGUAGAUAUCCGGAGGAAUACCAGUGGCGAAGGCGGCACGCUGGGCCAUAACUGACGCUAAGACGCGAAAGCAUGGGUAGCGAACGGG
rnacentral:rRNA from 1 species